AACGAACGCUGGCGGCAUGCCUAACACAUGCAAGUCGAACGAUCCCUUCGGGGAUAGUGGCGCACGGGUGCGUAACGCGUGGGAACCUGCCCUUAGGUUCGGAAUAACUCAGAGAAAUUUGAGCUAAUACCGGAUAAUGUCUUCGGACCAAAGAUUUAUCGCCUUUGGAUGGGCCCGCGUUGGAUUAGCUAGUUGGUGGGGUAAAGGCCUACCAAGGCGACGAUCCAUAGCUGGUCUGAGAGGAUGAUCAGCCACACUGGGACUGAGACACGGCCCAGACUCCUACGGGAGGCAGCAGUGGGGAAUAUUGGACAAUGGGCGAAAGCCUGAUCCAGCAAUGCCGCGUGAGUGAUGAAGGCCUUAGUGUUGUAAAGCUCUUUUACCCGGGAUGAUAAUGACAGUACCGGGAGAAUAAGCCCCGGCUAACUCCGUG
rnacentral:rRNA from 1 species